rnacentral:pre_miRNA from 1 species
CCUGACUGUGGGUCUCUCCUCAGGGUGCUCCGGGCAAAGCUGGGGACCCCGGGAGAGACGUAAGUAAGG